rnacentral:rRNA from 1 species
GGGUUGUGAGGUUAAGCGACUAAGCGUACACGGUGGAUGCCCUGGCAGUCAGAGGCGAUGAAGGACGUGCUAAUCUGCGAAAAGCGUCGGUAAGGUGAUAUGAACCGUUAUAACCGGCGAUGUCCGAAUGGGGAAACCCAGUGUGAUUCGUCACACUAUCGUUAACUGAAUACAUAGGUUAACGAGGCGAACCGGGGGAACUGAAACAUCUAAGUACCCCGAGGAAAAGAAAUCAACCGAGAUUCCCCCAGUAGCGGCGAGCGAACGGGGAGCAGCCCAGAGUCUGAAUCAGCUUGUGUGUUAGUGGAACGGUCUGGAAAGUCCGACGGUACAGGGUGAUAGUCCCGUACACCAAAAUGCACAGGUUGUGAACUCGAAGAGUAGGGCGGGACACGUGGUAUCCUGUCUGAAUAUGGGGGGACCAUCCUCCAAGGCUAAAUACUCCUGACUGACCGAUAGUGAACCAGUACCGUGAGGGAAAGGCGAAAAGAACCCCGGCGAGGGGAGUGAAAAAGAACCUGAAACCGUGUACGUACAAGCAGUGGGAGCACCUUCGGGUGUGACUGCGUACCUUUUGUAUAAUGGGUCAGCGACUUAUAUUCUGUAGCAAGGUUAACCGUAUAGGGGAGCCGCAGGGAAACCGAGUCUUAACUGGGCGUUAAGUUGCAGGGUAUAGACCCGAAACCCGGUGAUCUAGCCAUGGGCAGGUUGAAGGUUGGGUAACACUAACUGGAGGACCGAACCGACUAAUGUUGAAAAAUUAGCGGAUGACUUGUGGCUGGGGGUGAAAGGCCAAUCAAACCGGGAGAUAGCUGGUUCUCCCCGAAAGCUAUUUAGGUAGCGCCUCGUGAACUCAUCUUCGGGGGUAGAGCACUGUUUCGGCUAGGGGGUCAUCCCGACUUACCAACCCGAUGCAAACUACGAAUACCGAAGAAUGUUAUCACGGGAGACACACGGCGGGUGCUAACGUCCGUCGUGAAGAGGGAAACAACCCAGACCGCCAGCUAAGGUCCCAAAGUCAUGGUUAAGUGGGAAACGAUGUGGGAAGGCACAGACAGCCAGGAUGUUGGCUUAGAAGCAGCCAUCAUUUAAAGAAAGCGUAAUAGCUCACUGGUCGAGUCGGCCUGCGCGGAAGAUGUAACGGGGCUAAACCAUGCACCGAAGCUGCGGCAGCGACACUAUGUGUUGUUGGGUAGGGGAGCGUUCUGUAAGCCUGCGAAGGUGACCUGUGAGGGUUGCUGGAGGUAUCAGAAGUGCGAAUGCUGACAUAAGUAACGAUAAAGCGGGUGAAAAGCCCGCUCGCCGGAAGACCAAGGGUUCCUGUCCAACGUUAAUCGGGGCAGGGUGAGUCGACCCCUAAGGCGAGGCCGAAAGGCGUAGUCGAUGGGAAACAGGUUAAUAUUCCUGUACUUGGUGUUACUGCGAAGGGGGGACGGAGAAGGCUAUGUUAGCCGGGCGACGGUUGUCCCGGUUUAAGCAUGUAGGCUGGUUGUCCAGGCAAAUCCGGAUAAUCAAGGCUGAGGUGUGAUGACGAGGUACUACGGUGCUGAAGUAACAAAUGCCCUGCUUCCAGGAAAAGCCUCUAAGCAUCAGGUAACAUCAAAUCGUACCCCAAACCGACACAGGUGGUCAGGUAGAGAAUACCAAGGCGCUUGAGAGAACUCGGGUGAAGGAACUAGGCAAAAUGGUGCCGUAACUUCGGGAGAAGGCACGCUGGUGUGUAGGUGAAGUCCCUGCGGAUGGAGCUGAGACCAGUCGAAGAUACCAGCUGGCUGCAACUGUUUAUUAAAAACACAGCACUGUGCAAACACGAAAGUGGACGUAUACGGUGUGACGCCUGCCCGGUGCCGGAAGGUUAAUUGAUGGGGUUAUCCGUAAGGAGAAGCUCUUGAUCGAAGCCCCGGUAAACGGCGGCCGUAACUAUAACGGUCCUAAGGUAGCGAAAUUCCUUGUCGGGUAAGUUCCGACCUGCACGAAUGGCGUAAUGAUGGCCAGGCUGUCUCCACCCGAGACUCAGUGAAAUUGAACUCGCUGUGAAGAUGCAGUGUACCCGCGGCAAGACGGAAAGACCCCGUGAACCUUUACUAUAGCUUGACACUGAACAUUGAGCCUUGAUGUGUAGGAUAGGUGGGAGGCUUUGAAGCGUGGACGCCAGUCUGCGUGGAGCCAACCUUGAAAUACCACCCUUUAAUGUUUGAUGUUCUAACGUUGGCCCCUGACCGGGGUUGCGGACAGUGUCUGGUGGGUAGUUUGACUGGGGCGGUCUCCUCCCAAAGCGUAACGGAGGAGCACGAAGGUUAGCUAAUCCUGGUCGGACAUCAGGAGGUUAGUGCAAUGGCAUAAGCUAGCUUGACUGCGAGCGUGACGGCGCGAGCAGGUGCGAAAGCAGGUCAUAGUGAUCCGGUGGUUCUGAAUGGAAGGGCCAUCGCUCAACGGAUAAAAGGUACUCCGGGGAUAACAGGCUGAUACCGCCCAAGAGUUCAUAUCGACGGCGGUGUUUGGCACCUCGAUGUCGGCUCAUCACAUCCUGGGGCUGAAGUAGGUCCCAAGGGUAUGGCUGUUCGCCAUUUAAAGUGGUACGCGAGCUGGGUUUAGAACGUCGUGAGACAGUUCGGUCCCUAUCUGCCGUGGGCGCUGGAGAAUUGAGGGGGGCUGCUCCUAGUACGAGAGGACCGGAGUGGACGCAUCACUGGUGUUCGGGUUGUCAUGCCAAUGGCACUGCCCGGUAGCUAAAUGCGGAAGAGAUAAGUGCUGAAAGCAUCUAAGCACGAAACUUGCCCCGAGAUGAGUUCUCCCUGAGACUUUAAGUCUCCUGAAGGAACGUUGAAGACGACGACGUUGAUAGGCCGGGUGUGUAAGCGCAGCGAUGCGUUGAGCUAACCGGUACUAAUGAACCGUGAGGCUUAACCUUACAACGCCGAAG